rnacentral:rRNA from 1 species
ACCCGCUGAAUUUAAGCAUAUAAGUAAGUGGUGGAAAUUAAACCAAAUGGGAUAUCUUUAGUAAUUACGAAUGAACAAGGAUAUGCUUAGCUUGACAAAUGGAGCUAUUGGCUUUGAAUUGUAUUGUGGAAAUGUAUUACCAACAGAGGUGCAGGUGCCAGCAUAUUGAAAUAGAGCGUCAAUGAGGGUGAGAAUCCUGUUUGCCAUGUGCAGCCCUUUGUGCACGGUGUAUAUUUGCUGAGUCACACUCCUUGGCAUUGGAAUGCAAAGUGGGUGGUAAGUUUCAUGUACAGGUAAACAUGCAACUGAGACUGAUAGCACACAAGUGCCAUGAGGGAAAUAUGAAAAAGGUUUUUGAAAAGUUAAUAAAAUGAGUUUGUAUUUGCUGAACACAAAGUAAACAGACUUGAUUUGCUUGGUGGGAGUGUUGCACUUGCUUGACAAGAGCUUUGGGCUGUGUGUGUAAUGAUUCGUUCUUUGCAUGCCAGUUUCUAUGUGUACAUCUGAUUACCUUUGCACAUGAAUGAUAAGUCUCCUGUGGGGGGUGUAUUGCAUGUGCAUGUAAUGAUGUGUGUUUUGAUAAAUGUGUAUGGUGUAUGUGUUUGUGUUCAUGUGAUUGGGGAUGCUUCCUUCCUUGGACUUACAAGCCCUGACACACACAUGCUGGCAAAAUGAUUAUGCUUGACCCGUCUUGAAACACGGACCAAGG